UUAAAUUGAAGAGUUUGAUCAUGGCUCAGAUUGAACGCUGGCGGCAGGCCUAACACAUGCAAGUCGAGCGGAAACGACACUAACAAUCCUUCGGGUGCGUUAAUGGGCGUCGAGCGGCGGACGGGUGAGUAAUGCCUAGGAAAUUGCCUUGAUGUGGGGGAUAACCAUUGGAAACGAUGGCUAAUA
rnacentral:rRNA from 1 species